rnacentral:rRNA from 1 species
CCUACGGGCGGCAGCAGUGGGGAAUCUUGCACAAUGGACGAAAGUCUGAUGCAGCAACGCCGCGUGAGUGAUGAAGGUUUUCGGAUCGUAAACCUCUGUUAGUAGUGAAGAACGCUCACUGUGGUAAUUAGCCUUUAUUUGACGGUACUUGCAUAGGAAGUACCGGCUAACUCCGUGCCAGCAGCCGCGGUAAUACGGAGGGUGCAAGCGUUAGACGGAUUUAUUGGGCGUAAAGCGAUUGGAGGUGGUUUGAUAAGUCAGAGGUGAAAGCCUGCGGCGCAACGGGGGAAUUGCCUUUGAAACUGGUGAACUUGAGUGCAGAAGAGGAGAGUGGAACUCCAGGUGUAGCGGUGGAAUGCGUAGAUAUAUGGAAGAACACCAGUGGCGAAGGCGGCUAUCUGGUAUGCAACUGACGCUGAGGCUCGAAAGCAUGGGUAGCGAACAGGAUUAGAUACCCGUGUAGUC